ACUUCACAACACAUAAAGGUCAGGGCACAGAAAACAAGUCUUGGCCUGAGCUACAGAUUGAGGAGUUGUCAGGAUUUGGUAACAGUCGAAACCAUAUUUAUAGAUGGAAUUAUCCGAAAGAAGCGAAUACAAUUGAGGAGAGAAGGAAAGACCAAUGUUUCCAGUGCAAAGAAAGAGAAGAAACAGACCGAACGGGAACAGCCAGAGUGCAAGCCGGGUGCCCACACUUGUAGUCAAAGGAGCCCCAGGAAUGGACACAGCAGUGUUCAGUGAGGGCUGGAGUGAUUCUGGAGGAUGGCCUUGAAGGAUGGAGAGGAGAGCGAGCGGCCCAGGGCUGGCGCAGCUGCUGAAAUACGUCAUCAGAUACCCAGGCCUCUUCUGUAAUUUUGCUCUACCAUCCUCGGCUCAUGACUCUAGUCCUCAUGGUCACAAAAUAGCUGCUGCAAUUCCUGGCCUCACAGCAAUGCUCCCAGUGGGAAGAAGGAGGAAGGGCAA